UACAGAGGGUGCGAGCGUUGUCCGGAAUUACUGGGCGUAAAGGGCGCGUAGGCGGCCCGAUAAGUAGGGGGUGAAAUUCCGUGGCUUAACCACGGAACUGCCUUCUAGACUGUCAGGCUUGAGCACGGUAGAGGCAGAUGGAAUUCCCGGUGUAGCGGUGGAAUGCGUAGAUAUCGUGAGGAAGACCAGUGGCGAAGGCGGGUCUCUGGACAGUUCCUGACACUGAGGCACGAAGGCCAGGGGAGCAAACGGG
rnacentral:rRNA from 1 species